rnacentral:tRNA from 1 species
GGCUGGAUGGUGAAGUGGUUAACACGCCAGAUUUAGGCUCUGGUAUGCGUGGGUUCGAACCCCACUCUAGUCA